GACGAACGCUGGCGGCGUGCUUAACACAUGCAAGUCGAACGGAAAGGCCCUGCUUUUGUGGGGUGCUCGAGUGGCGAACGGGUGAGUAACACGUGAGUAACCUGCCCUUGACUUUGGGAUAACUUCAGGAAACUGGGGCUAAUACCGGAUAGGAGCUCCUGCUGCAUGGUGGGGGUUGGAAAGUUUCGGCGGUUGGGGAUGGACUCGCGGCUUAUCAGCUUGUUGGUGGGGUAGUGGCUUACCAAGGCUUUGACGGGUAGCCGGCCUGAGAGGGUGACCGGCCUCAUUGGGACUAAGAUACGGCCCAGACUCCAACGGGCGGCAGCAGUCGGGAAUAUUGCACAAUGGGCGGAAGCCUGAGGCAGCGACGCCGCGUGCGGGAUGACGGCCUUCGGGUUGUAAACCGCUUUCGCCUGUGACGAAGCGUGAGUGACGGUAAUGGGUAAAGAAGCACCGGCUAACUACGUG
rnacentral:rRNA from 1 species